AUUGAACGCUGGCGGCAGGCUUAACACAUGCAAGUCGAGCGGGGAUUGGGUGCUUGCACCUAAUCUUAGCGGCGGACGGGUGAGUAAUGCUUAGGAAUCUGCCAUUUAGUGGGGGACAACAUUCCGAAAGGGAUGCUAAUACCGCAUACGUCCUACGGGGGAAAGCAGGGGAUCUUCGGACCUUGCGCUAAAUGAUGAACCUAAGUCGGAUUAGCUAGUUGGUGGGGUAAAGGCCUACCAAGGCGACGAUCUGUAGCGGGUCUGAGAGGAUGAUCCGCCACACUGGGACUGAGACACGGCCCAGACUCCUACGGGAGGCAGCAGUGGGGAAUAUUGGACAAUGGGCGGAAGCCUGAUCCAGCCAUGCCGCGUGUGUGAAGAAGGCCUUUUGGUUGUAAAGCACUUUAAGCGAGGAGGAGGCUACCUGGAUUAAUACUCUAGGAUAGUGGACGUUACUCGCAGAAUAAGCACCGGCUAACUCUGUGCCAGCAGCCGCGGUAAUACAGAGGGUGCGAGCGUUAAUCGGAUUUACUGGGCGUAAAGCGUGCGUAGGCGGCUGAUUAAGUCGGAUGUGAAAUCCCUGAGCUUAACUUAGGAAUUGCAUUCGAUACUGGUCAGCUAGAGUAUGGGAGAGGAUGGUAGAAUUCCAGGUGUAGCGGUGAAAUGCGUAGAGAUCUGGAGGAAUACCGAUGGCGAAGGCAGCCAUCUGGCCUAAUACUGACGCUGAGGUACGAAAGCAUGGGGAGCAAACAGGAUUAGAUACCCUGGUAGUCCAUGCCGUAAACGAUGUCUACUAGCCGUUGGGGCUUUGAGGCUUUAGUGGCGCAGCUAACGCGAUAAGUAGACCGCCUGGGGAGUACGGUCGCAAGACUAAAACUCAAAUGAAUUGACGGGGACCCGCACAAGCGGUGGAGCAUGUGGUUUAAUUCGAAGCAACGCGCAGAACCUUACCAACCCUUGACAUGUUUGUCGCGAGACUAAGAAAUUAGUCUCU
rnacentral:rRNA from 1 species